UGCUGGAGCCGCGGCGUUCUCCUCGGGCCCGGGCCGCGCCCGUGGGUGCUCCGGACCGGACUCCGCGGGCGCAGCUGUCCCGACGCUGAGCUGGGGACCCGUGGGGUUCUCGGAGAGGGGCAGAGACCCAAGGGCUGCUGGUGGGGUGAGGCCAUCCCACGCAACUCUGGGGUCUGUGAAGCCACCAAGGAUCAAGGAAUGGAAGAGCUGCCUGAGUGUAGAGGGAGUUCGGUCAGGCUUCUUAAACUUGGAGACUUGGAAACAGAAGGCCUUGUAGGCCACAUAGGUUUUCAGAGACUCGCCUGGCAGAGGCCUGGAGCGUCCUGCUGCGUGGACUGUGGGCACCGAGCCACCAGGAGGCGACGUUGUGGACGUUUACCAGCGGGAGUUCCUGGCGCUGCGCGAUCGGUUGCACGCAGCUGAGCAGGAGAGCCUCAAGCGCUCCAAGGAGCUCAACCUGGUGCUGGACGAGAUCAAGAGGGCCGUGUCAGAAAGGCAGGCGCUGCGAGACGGAGACGGCAA
rnacentral:lncRNA from 1 species